rnacentral:rRNA from 1 species
CACGUAGGCGGAUUGGCAAGUCAGAUGUGAAAGCCCGGGGCUUAACCCCCGGAAUUGCAUUUGAUACUGUCUGUCUUGAGUAUGGUAGAGGGGGAUGGAAUUCCCGGUGUAGAGGUGAAAUUCGUAGAUAUCGGGAGGAACACCAGAGGCGAAGGCGAUCCCCUGGGCCAUUACUGACGCUGAGGUGCGAAAGCGUGGGGAGCAAACA